GAUGAACGCUGGCGGCGUGCCUAAUACAUGCAAGUCGAGCGAACAGACGAGGAGCUUGCUCCUUUGACGUUAGCGGCGGACGGGUGAGUAACACGUGGGUAACCUACCUAUAAGACUGGGAUAACUUCGGGAAACCGGAGCUCACACCGGAUAAUAUUUCGAACCGCAUGGUUCGAUAGUGAAAGCUGGCUUUGCUAACCCUUAUACAUGGACCUGCGCCGUAUUAGCUAGUUGGUAAGGUAACGGCUUACCAAGGCAACGAUCCGUAGCCGACCUGAGAGGGUGAUCGGCCACACUGGAACUGAGACACGGUCCAGACUCCUACGGGAGGCAGCAGUAGGGAAUCUUCCGCAAUGGGCGAAAGCCUGACGGAGCAACGCCGCGUGAGUGAUGAAGGUCUUCGGAUCGUAAAACUCUGUUAUUAGGGAAGAACAAACGUGUAAGUAACUGUGCACGUCUUGACGGUACCUAAUCAGAAAGCCACGGCUAACUACGUG
rnacentral:rRNA from 1 species